CGCUUUAUUCAGAAUACUAGCUUUAGUGUUACUCUUUGUGUGUUUUUCUUUGGCGCAAGAAUAUGUGACUCAGAUUAAAACCUAUGUGUCCGAAAGUGAGGAUGUUGUAGGUGGUGGAAUUAUGCAAGAGGAACAAGAAAGCAAAAAAUGGAUUUAUAAAAUUGGAACACAAAAAAAAUAAAAAUUCUAAAAAUGUAAAACUUAAUAAUUGGCUUCAAUUCUACAAGAAAGUAGCAAACUGCAA